rnacentral:miRNA from 1 species
UUCGGGCGGGCUCGGGCGAGA